rnacentral:rRNA from 1 species
CCCUUAGAUGUCCUGGGCCGCACGCGCGUUACACUGAUGCAUUCAACGAGCUUAUAACCUUGGCCGAGAGGCCUGGGCAAUCUUUUGAACCUGCAUCGUGAUAGGGAUAGAUUAUUGCAAUUAUUAAUCUUGAACGAGGAAUUCCUAGUAAACGCAGAUCAUCAAUCUGCAUUGAUUACGUCCCUGCCCUUUGUACACACCGCCCGCCGCACCUACCGAUUGAAUGGUCCGGUGAAGCCUCGGGAUUGUGGCGAGUUCCCUUUAUUGGGAGUUUGUCGCGAGAACUUGUCUAAACCUUAUCAUUUAGAGGAAGGUGAAGUCGUAACA